GACGAACGCUGGCGGCGUGCUUAACACAUGCAAGUCGAACGGAAAGGCCCUGCUUGCAGGGUGCUCGAGUGGCGAACGGGUGAGUAACACGUGGGUGAUCUGCCCCUUACUUUGGGAUAAGCCUGGGAAACUGGGUCUAAUACUGGAUAGGACCAUGCUGUAGGUGGUGUGGUGGAAAGAUUAGUUUCGGUAAGGGAUGAGCUCGCGGCCUAUCAGCUUGUUGGUGGGGUAAUGGCCUACCAAGGCGUCGACGGGUAGCCGGCCUGAGAGGGUGGACGGCCACAUUGGGACUGAGGUACGGACCCAACGCCUACGGGAGGCAGGAAGGGGGAAGAUUGGACUAUGGGCGCAAGCGUGAUGCAGCGACGCCGCGUGGGGGAUGGCGGGCUUCGGGUUGUAAACUCCUAUCGGCCAUUACGAAGCCCUGAUGGUGACGGUAGUGGGAGAAGAAGCACCGGCUAACUACGUG
rnacentral:rRNA from 1 species